CCAAAACAUCGCCUCUUGACACAUACAUAUUCUAUAAGAGGUCCAGCCUGCCCAGUGACAUUUUUAACGGCCGCGGUACUCUGACCGUGCGAAGGUAGCAUAAUCACUUGUUCUUUAAAUGGGGACUAGUAUCAACGGCAUCACGAGGAUUUUACUGUCUCCUUUUUCUAAUCGGUGAAACUGAUCUCCCCGUGAAGAAGCGGGGAUAAUACUAUAAGACGAGAAGACCCCAUGGAGCUUUAAACCCAGUAACAUCUCAAACUCUUUAUUCCCCCUUAGUUUUUAUGCAUUGUCUGCUGGUUUUAGGUUGGGGUGACCGCGGAGUAUAACUUAACCUCCACAGCGCACGGAACUUAUUCCUUAUCCAAGAGCCACAUCUCGAAGAAUCAAUAAAUUGACGUAAAAUGAUCCAUAACCUUGAUUAAUGAACCAAGUUACCCUGGGGAUAACAGCGCAAUCCAUUUUUAGAGCUCCUAUCGACAAAUGGGUUUACGACCUCGAUGUUGGAUCAGGGUAUCCCAGUGGUGCAGCCGCUACUAAUGGUUUGUUUGUUCAACAAUUAAACCCUACCUG
rnacentral:rRNA from 1 species